UUUGUAGAUCCAGCCUCACUGGCUCCUCUGCAGGAAACUCUCUUCAUCCACUGCAGUACAGCGGUGUGCCAUCCCUCUUCCGGCUCCUGCGAGCAAAGCUGCACCAGGAAGAGAAGAGACACUCAUGCCAAGACCAUCUCUAAUGGGCGGACUGUGGUUUCUAGCGGCGAAGUUACUCUGGUCAUGUAAAUUUGGCUGUUUUAAUAAACCGCAUUAAACUC